rnacentral:ncRNA from 1 species
UCCCCGCUUCUCCUCCCUGAGCGGGUGCCUGUCGUUUUUUUUCGAUUAGGCUGUUUGACCCGCCGUUAAAGCGGCGGGUUUUUUUAU